GGGGUUGUGGCUCAGUGGUAGAGUGCUCGUCUCAAAUGUGUGAGGCACUGGGUUCGAUUCUCAGCACUACA
rnacentral:tRNA from 1 species